GCGGCUGUGGUGAAAUUGGUAGACACGCCAGAUUUAGGUUCUGGUGCUUUCGGGCGUGGGGGUUCAAGUCCCUCCAGCCGCACCA
rnacentral:tRNA from 2 species